rnacentral:misc_RNA from 1 species
AAUCCUCAACCUUCUCCCUUUCUUGUUGAAUUGGGGGAAAGGCUUGGACUUUGGAGGUAUCAUUUUUUGCUGGCCUCUUUCCACUUGAAGCCAGCUCCUCUUAAAGGAAGACAAUGUUCGAGUUACCACUCGACCUUACAAAC